UACGAGGGGGGGCAAGCGUUUGUUCGGAAUUAUUGGGCGUAAAGGGCGCGUAGGCGGUUUGACAAGUCUGAUGUGAAAUCUCUGGGCUCAACCCAGAGUCUGCAUUAGAAACUGUCGGGCUUGAGUAUGGGAGAGGUGAGUGGAAUUUCCGGUGUAGCGGUGAAAUGCGUAGAUAUCGGAAGGAACACCUGUGGCGAAAGCGGCUCACUGGACCAUAACUGACGCUGAGGCGCGAAAGCUAGGGGAGCAAACAGG
rnacentral:rRNA from 1 species